UGCCGCGCCGGCUACGCCCGCGACGCCCGCCACGCCUGCUACUCCUGCCACGCCCGCUACGGACGACGACUCGCCGCUCGCGGGACACACAUCGGAGGACGAUGGAUACAUGAGCAUGAACGGAAGACGAGCGAAAUUCGCGUUAGGGUUCCGGCCGACGGAGGAGCGCGAGGAACCCUCGCCCCCCGACCCGCCGUCCCCGCGCUCCCCGCAUUCGCCGCAAUCCCCGCCGCCGCCGGAGGAGGCGCAGCGGAUCAUCUCUACGUUGCUACCCAAAGUGUCACCGGCAAAUUCUGGGAAGCGGACCAUUUCUGCGGAGAGGACCGAAGCUG